rnacentral:rRNA from 1 species
AUGGACUUGCCUAAAUUUCUUGCCACUGUGUUACUGAUCUGUCUUCUCACCUACGAAUCCUAUGUGGAUGCAGCAUCGGAGGAACAAGAUUUUCUAAGAACUUGUUCGUCUCAUCGCUGCAGCAAACAUGGACCUGAGAUCCGGUUCCCGUUCCGGCUUUCGAUCGACCCACCAUCGUGUGGCGCACCAGGCAUGCAGCUGUCAUGCUCCGGGCAUGACACCAUCCUGGAUCACCAUGUUCUUGGGUCUUGCAGAGUGACCGCGAUCUAUUACAGGCACCGUGUCAUCAACGUCAUCCCGCUUGUGGAAUCAUCGAUGGAAUGCCCACUUCAGAAGCUCAUCUCAACAAAUUUAGAAACUGAUGUGUACAAACAACCUCAAUCAUCACAAGUUACGACCCUGGUACGUUGUUCAACUGAUUUCAUACCAGCGGAUCCAUACAGUAUAGCUGGCCCAGCUUCUUGUCUCAGUAACAACGCUACCCAAUUCUGGUAUUUGGCAUCAUUUUCUGCAUCCAUUACUGAUCUCCCAUGGAACUGUGUGGCCAUUAGUAAAGUCAUCCCAAUACCCUUCACCUAUGAUGAACAUGGCCCUAACAGAGACCCGGACACCUUCAAAGAAAAAGCAAAGGCAGUCUUCAACUAUGGUGAGACAACCUUCACUUGGCACCUCACUACCAUUACCGAUGCCUGCCAACAGUGUGAACAUGAAGGUCGACGUUGUGGAUUUAGCACACAAAGGCGUCAAGCAUUCUGCCAGCAACAUGAUAUGCGUGCCAUCCGAAUUGCAGCCUCAUCUGUAGCUGCAUUUGUAGUUCUUUCAUUGAUUGUGGCCACUGUGAUAUAUCUCUCAUUGAAGUCAAGGUACAAUGAAGAGAUAAAUAUGAAGGUUGAAAUGUUUCUCAAGGCAUAUGGCUCAUCAAAACCCACAAGGUACACUUUCCCUGAAGUUAAGAAGAUAGCAAGACGGUUCAAGGAUAAACUCGGCCAAGGUGGAUUUGGAAGUGUGUACAAAGGUGAGCUACCAAAUGGAGUGCCUGUGGCAGUCAAGAUGCUAGAGGGCUCCACAGGAGAGGGAGAGGAAUUCAUCAAUGAGGUUGCAACCAUUGGACUAAUCCACCAUACAAAUAUCGUCCGUCUCUUGGGCUUUUGCUCUGAAGGAAUGAGACAGGCUCUUAUUUACGAAUUCAUGCCUAAUGAGUCACUGGAGAAAUACAUAUUUCCACAAGUUUCUAAUACUUCUCGACAACCCCUAGCAACCAACAAAAUGCUAGAUAUUGCUUUAGGCAUUGCUCGAGGAAUGGAAUACCUGCAUCAAGGCUGCAACCAGCGCAUCCUCCACUUUGACAUCAAGCCACAUAACAUCCUGCUGGACUACAACUUCAAUCCGAAGAUCUCAGACUUUGGCCUUGCAAAGCUAUGUGCAAGGGACCAAAGCAUCGUUACCUUGACUGCAGCAAGAGGCACCAUGGGAUACAUCGCACCAGAGCUAUAUUCUCGGAACUUUGGAGGGGUGUCUUACAAGUCAGAUGUGUACAGUUUCGGCAUGCUGGUGUUGGAAAUGGUGAGCGGGCGGAGGAACUCAGACCCAAGUGUUGAGAACCAGGACGAGGUAUAUCUCCCGGAGUGGAUCUACGAGAGAGUAAUCAGUGGGCAUGAAUGGGAGCUUACUUCAGAAAUGACAGUAGAAGACAAAGAAAAGAUGAGGCAGCUGACUAUUGUGGCUCUGUGGUGCAUCCAAUGGAACCCCAAGAAUCGGCCAUCAAUGACAAAGGUGGUAAACAUGUUAACAGGGAGGUUGCAGAACCUACAGAUUCCCCCCAAGCCCUUUGUGUCAUCUGACAAUCGUCAUAUGCCACAGAACACGACAAACACAUGA